UUGGUAUGUUACUUUUGGCUCU
rnacentral:snRNA from 1 species